GUACAGGUCACAAUAGGGUUUGUGCUCCAAUGAGAAUCUAAUGCCAUUGCUGACCUGACAGUAGGUGGAGCUCAGGCCGUAAUGCUGGCUCACCCA